rnacentral:rRNA from 1 species
GAUGAACGCUGGCGGCGUGCCUAAUACAUGCAAGUCGAGCGAACGGACGAGGAGCUUGCUGCUCGGAUGUUAGCGGCGGAGGGGAGAGUAACGCGUGGAUAACCUACCUAUAAGACUGGGAUAACUUCGGGAAACCGUAGCUAAUACCGGAUAAUAUUUUGAUGCGCAUGGUUGAAAAGUGAAAGACGGUCUUGCGGUAACUUAUAGAUGGAUCCGCGCUUCAUUAGCUGGUUGGUAAGGUAACGGCUUACGAAGGCAACGAUGCAUAGCCGACGUGAGAGAGUGAUAGCCCGCCCUGGAACUUGGCCCGGGUCCUGACGCCUGCGGGAGGGAGCAGUAUGCAACCGUCCGCAAUGGGCGAAAACAUGACGGAACAACGCGGCGCCAGAUAUGAAGGUCCCCCGUGCGUAAAACCCUGUUACUAGUUAUAAACAUAUGUGUAAGUAACUGUGCACAUCGUGACGGUACCUAAUCAGAAAGCCACGGCUAACUACGUG